rnacentral:rRNA from 1 species
AUGACCUUAACUCUGAAAACUGCAAGUUUAACCUGCUCUGAAAUCUCAGAGUUUGUUAGAAGAAACUAUAUUGUUGAUGUGGCUCUUUCACAGUUUUCAUUUCUAAUAAAAUGUGAAGGUGCAACUAUCCUGAAGAAUGAUUAUGUAAAAAGAAAGUUGUAUCAGCAUCGAAGUGAAGAACUGGUGCGGCAGAGCGCACCUUUCCUUCUUGUAAUGAUACCAUGUCCAGUGAAUGCAACACCUAAAACGUCUGCAUAUAAAAUUGCAGUUCGUGGCCGUGCACCUCUUGAUACAGCACCUUGUCCUGGUAGAGUCAGUCCGCUGGAAGAAAUGAUCAGGAGGUAUGCUGAUAAGCCCAUCCGAUAA